AACCCACGAUGUGGACAUUUCCUCAUAAAUUCCUUGUAUCUCUCCCAAGCCUCAUAUAAUGACUCAAACUCUUCUCUUAGAAACGAUGUGAUAUCAUUUCUCAUCUU